UCUCUUCUUCAUGUUCUAAAGCAUGGAAUAGUAAACUUCCCCCAAACCAUAAAGGGGGUAAAUGCCUCUUUCAUUUUCAUAUAACUCCUUCUGGAUUCCAGGUGGGGAUGAGGCUGUUCUGAUAGAACACUGCAUAUCUCAGUCCAGAUUAUGGAUUGUCACAAUGCUAUUGUGACUUCUGACCAGUUCAGUCAGAUAAGUCUGCUUCUGACUUGACCUGCUACAUAUCCGCAUAUGUGAAGGCAGUGAAGGCAAUAGAGCCCCUUCUUCUAGCACAAGCACACCAGCUAGAUAAGCCUACUAGAAGACUGGAUUCUGAAAAUGACAGUGCUGUUCGUGUGUAGAUUUUGCAAUCUGAUGAUGACAGAGUGCCUGGAAACAUGAUAAACCUCUAGGAAGAGAUGCCCAAGAACACUGGAGGGAAAAAAAUGCCAGAAGAUUAUUAGUGCUGGGAGUUAGCUGUACUCUGUUGUAUCUUUCAAGCAAGUCAUGAAAACAUUCCAAAGAAACUCAUUAUGAGAGAAGGCUUAAGGGGAUACUCAGUCCUUCAAAGCUCAGACAUGCUAUUCAAGAAGAACUAAGGGACUGAACAGGACCAACAAGAAAAAAAAUAUUGUGAAAAUCCAAUUAUAUUUUAGGACCUUAUUCCAUCUAUCUUAACUCUUUCUAGAAUUUCUACUUUUUUAAUGAAUCUUUUCCUUCUGAAACUAUUUUAGUGCCAUCUCCUAUUAUUUUUUUUAUCAAAGUAUUAACUUGAACAAUAAUUCUUGUUUGAUAAUUUUCUUCAGAAAUUUCCUUCAAACAAUAUUUUAUGACCCUGUGAAGCAUAGAAAAGUACAAAAUAGCCUUUAGUACUGCAUGAAAUCCUUUUGCUCCUUCAGUAACAGCAACAAUGAUGAAAAAUAGGGGAAAAAAAUCACACAGAUUCUAGGUGCUGAAUAUUCAUUUAAUUGUUGGUACUUUAAAUGUGGGAUCUUUGUCAAAAAACAAAUCGAGUCAGUAUACUGCUUGCAAUGAAUUAAAACAAAAGUUUUGUUUUAUCCAAAUGAAAAGAAAAGUCACAGGUUGUCCUAGGAGAGACAAAUAAAUCAGGGGAUUUGAUUUUUUCAUAUUUUCAAAAGCAUUAAGAAUAAGUCCUCCAGAUGCUCUUUGCAGGCCACAUCAUGUUAAUUGUUUAAUGUCCUGGAACAAUACUGAGCCUCUUAAAUAAGAUCAGUAAUCACUUCAAAGAAUUAGCCUUAACUAUCCACACAGAAAAACCAAGAGGAUGAAAAAUGUUAAUCAUUCAGAAAUGUUCACAAGCAGUUACAGUCUAUAAAAAAGGCCUGUCAAUAUAUAAAUCCUGGACAGGCAUUGUCCAUGGAUAAUGAACUAAGGCCAUUGUUGAAUAACAUAAAGAAAUAAGAACAAUCUGUCUUUAUGAAAUUGUGAAGUAUUUUUAAUCCUGGUGGUGUUUUACCAAAACAGGCAUAUUUUGCAUUGGUACCCAUACUAUAUUAAGAUAUUUAGAGGAAGGACUUGAAAAUGUAUGUAAGAUCCUCAGUGAAGAAUUGAUAGGCAGUUAGUUCUCAAGAAUGAAUCCAGGUUAUCAGCAGCUUGUUGGUCUUCCCUUGUUUUCAAUCUACUAAUUAGAGAAAUUCAAAUCGGCAAUUCUGAGACAGAACCUCUUGCUUAUCAGAGUGCUAAAGUGACAAAAAAGGGAAAUGAUAAAAGUGGAAGAACUUAAAUUUAAAAAGAAUUGCAAGUUAUACAUAUAGAUUUGCAAUGUCAUAAACAAUCAUCUUUUUAUCAUUCUAUGUUAUGGAAGUGCUUGUUUUAUUAUAUAAAUUUAAAAAAAAAAGAAGUAGAGGGACUGUAGGGAAACAAGCACAUUGUUUGUACUGUAGUGAACCUAUAAAUGGGUACAACCAUUCUGGAUAGCAAUUUGGAAUUUUACAGGAAAAAAAAUAGAGCAAUACCCAAAAUAUAUUUUUUUGAAAAUAGGUCCUACAAAUAAAAAUAUAUGUUUAUAAGCAGCUUUUUUUAUGGUGGCAAAAAAAUGGAAACUCAGAAGACACCCAUCAAUUGUGGAAUUGUUUGAAUAAAUUGUGUUACAGGAAUGUGAUGAAAUACUAUUGUGUUUUUAAAAAUGAGGAAAUCGAUUCACAGAAACAUGGAAAGAUUUAUAUGAAGUGACUUCAAGGUAAAGCAGAGAAUACCAACUACCCAUGCUAUUUAUCCCCUGUGGAUACCCUCUUUUCAACUUCUUUUUUUUUUGUGUGUGUUGUUUUCUUCAUUCGAUUGUAAGCUUCUUGAGAGCAGGAACUAUCUUUUUCUUAUUUAUAUCUCCUGUGUAUAGCACAGUGUCUGGCACAUAAGUAGUAGGCAUUUAUGUUUGUUAAAUUGAAUACUAUACU